ACGCUGGCGGCGUGCCUAAUACAUGCAAGUCGAGCGAACUGAUUAGAAGCUUGCUUCUAUGACGUUAGCGGCGGACGGGUGAGUAACACGUGGGCAACCUGCCUGUAAGACUGGGAUAACUUCGGGAAACCGAAGCUAAUACCGGAUAGGAUCUUCUCCUUCAUGGGAGAUGAUUGAAAGAUGGUUUCGGCUAUCACUUACAGAUGGGCCCGCGGUGCAUUAGCUAGUUGGUGAGGUAACGGCUCACCAAGGCAACGAUGCAUAGCCGACCUGAGAGGGUGAUCGGCCACACUGGGACUGAGACACGGCCCAGACUCCUACGGGAGGCAGCAGUAGGGAAUCUUCCGCAAUGGACGAAAGUCUGACGGAGCAACGCCGCGUGAGUGAUGAAGGCUUUCGGGUCGUAAAACUCUGUUGUUAGGGAAGAACAAGUACGAGAGUAACUGCUCGUACCUUGACGGUACCUAACCAGAAAGCCACGGCUAACUACGUGCCAGCAGCCGCGGUAAUACGUAGGUGGCAAGCGUUAUCCGGAAUUAUUGGGCGUAAAGCGCGCGCAGGCGGUUUCUUAAGUCUGAUGUGAAAGCCCACGGCUCAACCGUGGAGGGUCAUUGGAAACUGGGGAACUUGAGUGCAGAAGAGAAAAGCGGAAUUCCACGUGUAGCGGUGAAAUGCGUAGAGAUGUGGAGGAACACCAGUGGCGAAGGCGGCUUUUUGGUCUGUAACUGACGCUGAGGCGCGAAAGCGUGGGGAGCAAACAGGAUUAGAUACCCU
rnacentral:rRNA from 2 species